CUCUAGUCCUUGUUUCACUCUUUCUUUUCUGUCCCUUUUUUCUCCACCUUUCCUUUUCUCUCACAUAUAUGCUGUUUGGUCAUUUCUCUCUCACCUUAUAGUCCACACACAACUAUACUCUCUCACUGUUCUCUUUCCUGUUCAGAUAGUGUAGAAUGAGGGUCUAUUGAAAAGCUCCUCAAAAGCCCUCAGCUUUUAUUUCUUUGUCUGCCAUUAAAAAUUGUCUUAAAUACAAUGCUCCUAUCUUGUUCUUCCCAUUCCCACUUCUCUUGCUUCAAGCUAUCUCUCUUCUAAAGCGUCUCUCUUUCUCUCUCGAUCAAUAUUCUUGCCAUUUCCCGGUGGUCUUCUUUGUUAAAUAAUUUUUCUCUUUCUUUCUUUCUUUUCCAUCUGUUUCUUUCCUUCGCCUCGUCGAAGUUUCUAUGCAGAUGGGUUGAUUUUUCUUGGCUAUAAGCUCUUCUUGAAAUAGUCCUUCGCCAGGAAUUUCUAUUAUACAAACUCAUGUAAACUCUGGUUUUAAAGGACGGAAAACGAAGGAAAACCUGUUGUGAGAAACUGUGGGAAAGUCGUAAAAAUAUCAUCUUUUCCUGUAUAAUCUGCAAAAGACAAUCUGGGUUUUACUAUUCCCUCCAUUUUAUAUCUAGGCAUUCUUUAAAACCUACCAAAACCCACAACAAAACCUAAAAAUGAUCAGUAUCACUGACCUCUACCAUGUUCUUACGGCUGUGGUGCCACUUUAUGUGGCCAUGUUCUUAGCCUAUGGCUCAGUGAAAUGGUGGAAGAUCUUUACUCCUGACCAGUGUUCAGGGAUCAACAGAUUCGUUGCUCUAUUUGCAGUGCCUUUGCUUUCUUUUCACUUUAUCUCCACUAAUAAUCCCUAUGACAUGAAUUACAGGUUCAUUGCAGCAGACACUUUCCAAAAAGUCAUAGUGCUGCUGGUUUUGGCCAUCUGGUCCAGAACUAGCUCUAGAGGCUCCCUUGAAUGGUCCAUCACUCUCUUUUCUCUCUCCACUCUCCCAAACACUCUGGUUAUGGGCAUCCCUUUGUUAAAGGGUAUGUAUGGGGACAACUCAGGGACCCUUAUGGUCCAAAUAGUUGUCCUUCAAUGCAUAAUAUGGUACACGUUGAUGCUCUUUCUAUUUGAAUAUAGAGGAGCUAGAAUCUUGAUUGGCGAACAGUUUCCUGACACUGCUGGCUCUAUAAUCUCCUUCAGAGUUGAUUCCGAUAUAAUUUCUUUGGAUGGUAGAGAGCCAUUGCAAACUGAAGCAGAGGUUGGCGAUGAUGGCAAGCUCCAUGUUACAGUGAGGAAAUCAACUAGCUCGAGAUCAGAAAUCUUCUCUCGCAGAUCCUAUGGUCCAAAUUCAGGGCUAUCAUUGACUCCUAGGCCAUCCAAUCUAACCAAUGCGGAGAUAUAUUCCCUCCAAUCUUCAAGAAAUCCAACCCCAAGAGGCUCAAGCUUUAACCACACUGAUUUUUAUUCAAUGGUGAAUGGCAAAAAUGCAAACAAUGUGAGUCCUAGACAAUCCAACUUUGGUAACUUGCCAUUUGAUGAAGAAAAUGGAGGAAUUGGAGUAUUUGGAAACGUUUCAAGAGCAAAUGGAAAUGCAUAUCCUGCGCCACCUAAUGCUGGGAUAUUCUCUCCCGGAGCCAAGAAGAAGGCAAAUGGGACCGAUAAUGGCAAGGACUUGCACAUGUUUGUUUGGAGUUCUAGUGCUUCACCGGUAUCCGAAGGUGGGAUUCAUGUCUUCAGGGGAGGAGGGGAUUAUGCCAAUGACCUUGGUGGUGCACCUCACCAGAAAGAUUAUGAUGAGUUUGGUCGGGAUGAGUUCAGCUUUGGAAACAGACAGGUAGCCAAUGGGGUGGACCGGGAUGGUCCGGUACUUUCCAAGCUUGGUUCAAGCUCCACAGCAGAGCUCCACCCAAAGACUGGUGCUAAUGGUGAAUCCAAGCCCACUGCCAUGCCACCUGCUAGUGUUAUGACAAGACUCAUUCUCAUUAUGGUUUGGAGAAAACUUAUAAGGAAUCCCAAUACUUAUUCCAGCCUCAUUGGCCUUACCUGGUCUCUUGUUUCUUUCAAAUGGCACGUAGAGAUGCCUGCAAUCAUUGCUCGUUCCAUAUCUAUCCUAUCUGAUGCUGGUCUUGGAAUGGCUAUGUUUAGUCUUGGUUUGUUCAUGGCAUUACAGCCAAGGAUCAUUGCUUGUGGAAACUCAAUCGCAGCAUUCGCAAUGGCUGUUAGAUUCCUCACUGGUCCUGCAGUUAUGGCUGUUUCUUCAAUUGCUGUUGGACUAAGGGGAACUCUGUUGCACAUUGCCAUAGUGCAGGUUAGAACACAAAAAAAGAAGUAUAUAAAUACAAUGUUUAGCGAAUAUUAUCAACAUAUUCAAAUGCUUGGACUGCUUUUUUCCCAGUUGAUGACAGAAUAUUCAUUAUGUUUGAAUUUUCAGGCAGCUCUUCCACAAGGAAUUGUCCCCUUUGUCUUU
rnacentral:misc_RNA from 1 species